GCCUUAAACCCUCUGUUUUCCAUGGAGAGGCUAUGAGCGCAAGGAGCAGAUUUACACCAGACAGGCACGGCUAUCUGACCAAGGUCUCGUAAGGACAACGUCCCCGCAAAUCAGGUGACUGGAUCCCACUAAAAACUCACCAGCAAACAUUCGCUCGGGGUCGAUCAAAAGAUAUUUCCUCACUUACGUUUCGAGACGCCAAAAAAAAGGAGAGAGGAAGGAAAAUGAAAGGACCAGAAGGGGGCAUACUGCUCUCUCUUAACGCUGAGUCUCCCUGAAAGGGGACUUUUCAACAUGCACUCUCCCUUUAUUCUUCUAAAAGAAAAUCUUUGAAUUGAAAAAAAAGAAAAAUAAACACAAAAAAAAACCUCACUCGAUUUACUAGCAGUUCCCUUCACAUCUGUCUGAAUUAUUUUUUAUUUUUUUAUUCAGGUCAUCAUUUGCAGAACAAUUGCUUGGAGUGAAACCGAACAAGUUAACAAAAAAGGAAUUUGAAAUUUGAAGGAAGGGGAGAAGAAGAAGAAGAAAAAAAAACAUUUCAACAAAUCUGACUGGCUUCCAGAAGGUUGGGAGAGACCCCCUCCAAGUCGAGAUAAAAAGUGUAACUUUAGCCUCUCAGCUGUACGUCUCAAUUCCAAAGCCUUUCCCCAGAAAUCAGCACAGACCUGCUGCCACUCCCACAGCGCAGCCUGCCUGUGCCGGGCUGGGCCUGAUUUACACUGGGGGAACCGCACGGAGACACGGCCUAGAGCCGCCGGCGGGUCCCCUCACACAGGAACCAAAAAAAGAACGAAAGAGAGAAAGACCGAGAGCGAAAAAGAAAGUGGGGGGAAAAAAGAAGACGCUAUCCCAGGUUUCCCUGCUACCGUCCCACCGACGUCCCUCGUUCCGCCCGGACGCGACCUCGGCAACAAGCCUCGCGGCGACGCUGAGCCACAGAGGGGAAGCACGUGCCCGAGAUACAGUGUCACCAGUUGCUGAUGUCCAUAUUUAUCACCUUAAAAUGAAGUAAAUAAAGGAUUUCCCAGUCAGAAGGGAUACCAAGAAAUCCUCCAGAUUUGGUGACCCUCGGUGGCGCGUCGGCAGGGGCAACAAAGAAAGCUUGGGUGUUGAUAAAAGCAUCUGCAGGUCCACUGACUCUGAGGACCAACACAACCCAGGGGAUUUAAUGGGGGGGCAGUCAGAGGAGACGUUGCUGAUGAUGGGUCCAUUACCGGGGGAAAGUUAUUUUACACAUAUGCCGUACCCUCCUGAGGCCCGGCAAAAGAAAAUGCUUACUCCACCCGGCUGGAUCCCUUCCUUCUGACAUCGAUCAGAGAGUGACGAGAAUCCGUCUUCCUCGUCGCUGGCAACAAAGGCGCAAAAAAAAAACAGAAGGGAACACUGUUAUUUCAUGCCUUCCUCUGACAGAGUAAGAAAGGGCGGGGCCGACGGGGUAGGCAUACAUGAUACAGACAGGAACCAUGACAGUGGAGACAAUGUCCCAGUUUCAUCUAGCAGGCAGCCUCCUCCACCCCCCACCUCCCAAAAAAAGCCCUGCACACCCCCCUCCCACCCAUCUUAUAUUUUGCAACUUCACAUUUCUCAAUCUCCAUCUACUGCUUUUUUUAAAGUGCAUUUUUUUUGGACUGGUGGCUGUCAGUCACAGAUGUUUCUACUGGGUACUCUCCAGCUCACCGGUCUUGACAAGUUUGCUGUGUGUCACAGGAUACAGGCUGUGGCCUCUGAGCACAAAGAGAGCGUGCUGUCACUCACGCUGGCAUGCGGCUCACAGGAAACAACUCUCUAAACAGUCAGAUACCCUGACAACGACCGAGGGCGAACCACGCAUUCACCAGAAAGAAUGUUUACAAUCCUUCAUUUUGUUUUUUAUUUCCUCAUAUCUGUUAUUCGAUUGAUGUACCUAUUAAUUACUGUGCUGUGACAUUUAAACACAACAAACUAGUUUCUAGUUGCUUUAUCUUUCAGUAGAUAAUUCGGGUACAACUUGCACAAUAAAAGUCCCCGAAAAACGUACAUAUCUAAGGUGAGUGUUACGCACGCACCAAGAUGAUACAUUCCUUGUUUUGCAACGUAGGCUACUGCUGGUUUGAAUCGUAGGCUGUUUCCAGCUGCAAGAUGGAGGACGAAUUCAGCUUGUUGAGAAAUCCCAACCAUCGUUCCCUUUUUAAAACAGAUGUAUUAUUUUGCAGUAGUCUUUGACCAUUCGCGAGUGUGUGGAUCACAGGUGGGAGUCUGUCUCCACCGAAUAAGCCAGUUCACUAAGGACGGGAUUUGGCGCUGUUAUUUUUCUAUUAGGGCAGAAUUAUGCUAAGCCUUUAGAAGCCAUUUCUGUGUUGCUAUGGCAGCCCAUAUUUCCUGCAGGGUUGCGACCUUGAAUGACUACAGUGCAAAGCCAAGUACCACCGGGACCCUUUGAGGAUUAGAAACGUGGGCUCAUAGUUAUGCUAAAUACCCCCAGAUAUGAUUGAACCUUGUAAGACUGAAUGACAAGUUUAUUGAGAUCGCCGCUCUUUUCAUCUGAUCAUUAUUAUGCGAAUUUUCCAAACCACUUGUCAUUCUUAGCUAGUUUUGUAAAGCAGCGUUUCAUUGGUCGUGAAGUCUACGUUACUUUUUUUGAGAAAUGUAUAAUGCCAUGCCGCGUUAUGUUCACUGGUUAAAAUUUUACUUCGUAUUUAGUUUUAUGAUUACAUUUAAAUAUCUCUUCAAUCCAAUCUCCUUUGUACUCAUCUGAUCGACUUCUUAUUGAACUAAAGCUUUUCUCCUUCAUUGGGAUAUUGUUUCGGUCUUUUGUUAUAUGUCUUUGUUAUUAUGUUUUCCCCUUCCAAAAUCAAACAUUCGAAAAAGCGAAAUGCAAUGAAAGCAUGUUAGCUACUAGCUAACAAUUGAACGCUAUCCAACUGAACAGUAUGGCAAAAGAGCAGAUAAACCGCGUAAAGUGUAAACAUUGAGCUCAGGCACAAACUCUAAAAACGCGAAAGAAGCAACAAAACAAUGGCAACAUUAAUUGCUGUCUGUAACAACAUGACAAUCGCUCAGUAGGCAUAGGCUACCUUUCAAAAACUCCUCCUGUGUACAAGAAUCAAGAGAUGAUUUUUGCCUGUGCUAUUCUUAAAGGGUGGGGCAGUUUGCCGCGCAAAGAGGAGGUCAAGUCGUCGAUGGUAAGAACCGAAUGAUUCACGAGAUCCCGAUCAGGAUUGUCUUAUACGAAUAAGUAAGCACCCAGCUUUUUGGUAUCUCCAAUAUUUUUUAUAUUGGAGAUAUUAUUAUAAUUUUUAUAAUUCAUAAUAACACAAACUAUAAUAUAAAAUAAACCAAAUUAACAUGUAGUGGUCUGACUUACUGGUGCACAGUAACAUGCCCAGUGCUAAUUUCACUCUAACAGUGUUAAUUCAACACUAACAGUUAACAUUUGGUCCCAUUCUGUUACUGUUGAAAUAACACUGUUAGAGUUGAAGUGACACUGGAUAUUUUACUGUCUGAGGCAACUGUUGCCCUUUUCAUGAUGUUCCAGUAUAGUCCAAUUCCGGUUGAAAAUGAUACUGUGCCAUGGAUAUCUGUUUAAUUCGGUAUUACUGCUUAAUUAGUUAAUUUACUAUUAGUAGUAGUAGUAGUAGAAGCAGUAGGGCCUUCCAGGCUUAACUGUAGAAGGCUUUGGCUAGUAGUAGAUGCAGGGCUGCCCAACCUGUUCCUGCAGAUCAACUGUCCUGCAGGUUUUCAAUUCAGCCCUGAUUUGGCACACCUGAUUCUAGGCUACUAAUUAGCAGCUCAAUGAGAUCUCUAGCUGUUAAAUGACGUGUGCUUUGUUAACGGUUGGAGUGAAAACCGACAGGACGGUAGAUCUCCAGGAACAGGGUUGGGCAGCCAGUUAUUUAAGCCUGGACUCGUCCUAUGCACAUUGUCUGAAUUGUAUUACCCUUGUCACAAGAACAGUUCAUAUUAACGAAUAACUAUGUAGGUUUAAACAAUAUAGUAGCUAGUCUGAACGAAGCGUUCAUUAUUCGUGUACCUCUUAGAAUAAAACGGUCCCUGUAGUAGAUAACUGCCCAGCAAUAACGGUACAAUAUUGUUUUACCUGUUUGAAAAUAGUUGAGGUGACGGCACACGUGGAAGUGGGAUUGACGCGGGGUGGGAGUGAUGAAGCUCGAUUGCGUUUUUUAUCGUAUGCAAUUCCCACGAAUUUGUGUAUUAAAAACAAAUACGGACAGCCUGCAUAGCCGACAAAGAGAUGGGGCUUUGAAAGCACGAGAUUGACGCUCUUGUGGUCACAAAGCGCGACGGGCGAUUACUUUGAAGAGGAAAGUGCUUUGAGUAUCACAUUUCGCUCUGAAAUAGUGACUGAAGACAAGCUCAAGUGAAAGACCUGUUGAAUCCGGUGUACCAAAGACGAAACAGUGCGGUCCCGUCUCAGAGAAGUGCUCCCAAGUGAAGAGACUCAAAACUCAAGUUUCAGAAUACAUUGCCCCGGAGACCACUCUUCGCUGAAUUAGGUCGAUCAUCCCGGACUCUGUCUAGAGAAACUAGGGGGGAUUAAGUGCAGUGUGGAGAUUUCAGAAAGCGAAUAGGUGCAAGUGUGACAGUGUGGCGAAUUGAAAAAAGUUUUAGGCGUCAUGUCCGGCUCGUGGAUUGACGGAAUUCUACGCAAGCUGUUCCUGUGAUUCUACAGACUUGAACUCGAUCUCGAUGAUACCGUGGUCAACUGGUUUAUCUAGUUUUAAAAUAGUUGAAAAAAUGGUAGAAUGGGAAAUCUGGAAUUGUGCAUUAGAAUUCUACUUAUUCUCAGUAAAUAUACAAACUUGUACUUUUUAGCUAUAUAAAUCUAAAACAAUUAGGACAGAUCCACCCGAGUUCUCCGGGGCCAUGAAAUGUUAUAAAAGUUGUUGCGCCAUAAUUUAGUUGUGAUUGUGACACCAGUGAGAUCUGCGGUUGAAUCGCUGUUUCGUCAGAAAGCUUUUUGGUUCAAUCACGUAUGUUCCAUCUGGGGGUUUAGUCGGCUUUGA